rnacentral:rRNA from 1 species
UACGUAGGGGGCUAGCGUUGUCCGGAAUCAUUGGGCGUAAAGAGCGUGUAGGCGGUCCGGUAAGUCCGCUGUGAAAGUCGGGGGCUCAACCCUCGAAUGCCGGUGGAUACUGUCGGGCUAGAGUGCGGAGGAGGCGAGUGGAAUUCCUGGUGUAGCGGUGAAAUGCGCAGAUAUCAGGAGGAACACCUAUUGCGAAGGCAGCUCGCUGGGACGUAACUGACGCUGAGACGCGAAAGCGUGGGGAGCAAACAGG